CUAAUCACCUAGACUACUCCAUUCUGAGGCUCAUUUUGCUUCACAGUCGGUGGUUUAUCUCACUAAAAAUGGAGGAGAUUACGGUGUUAGGGUUCGAUUUGUCAGUCUCGUCUACUCUAACCUAUGGAUUCACGAUGAAGAUGAUGGUUCUGUGAAGCAUCAACUGACCAAUAGGUCUACACAAUACUCCCAAUCUGAGUGUUCAUUCCAUAGUCAAAGCCCCGAAUUGGAUUUUUCAACGGGUUUAUCGUCAUCUAAAGUUGAACCCGGUGAACACUAUAUUUCGCCGGAGUCCAUGGGUAGACAGAGAUCGAAGAUUGGUGAUAAGAAAUGUGUGUGAUGAUACACGGUGGACCAAAGGCAGAAAGGUGUGUUCAGAUAAACGAUUUCGACAAAAUGAAUGACAAAUUGGGUAGCCAGCAUUUGAAAAGAGCUGUAAUUUAUAAGUUAGUGUCACAUGUUUUAACUCCCUAAUCAUCUGUGUUCCCCACAUUGGUACUUACAGUUGCAGCGCACGGAUCAAAGAUAAGUUUUAAAUCACUAAAUAGCAUUCACUCUACUGUGAUAUACAUUGUUAGUUAGCCAGAAUACUAUUCUUUCAUUGUUUCUAAAUAAGAGUGAAAUUAUAAGCAGUUUAUCCAGUUAAUUCCCCAUUCUCCAAGACUGACAAUUUAUGAGUUGUUGACAUAACUGCAGAUAAGCUGCUACACAAUCUAUGAUGGUUACAAAGAAUUUGAAGAGAGCUCUAUUUGAUAAGUUAGUGUCAACACGUGUUAAGUGCCUAAUCAACUCUCACUAUGCACAUUGGUACUUUCACUGGUAAGCUGCUACACAAUCUAUGAUGGUCUCAAAGAAUUUGAGGAGACUUCUUAAGUACAAAGUUAGUGUCAACACAUGGUAAGCUGCUACACAAUCUAUGAUGGUUAAAAAGAUUUUGAAGAGAGCUUUAAUUGAUAAGUUAGUGUCAACACAUGGUUCGCCUUUUGAUCUGCAAAAUGUUAUGAUUGUUGAACUCACCUGAAUUUGUGCUUGUCUUUUUAAUUUCAUCUAGACCGUUUGAAAACUAAUUGAAUUUUCAAAUUACUUAAUCGAGUCUUACUCUUCUCA